GUAGGUGGCAAGCGUUGUCCGGAAUUAUUGGGCGUAAAGCGCGCGCAGGUGGGGGUUCGUUUAAGUCUGAUGUGAAAGACCCCCGGGCUCAACCGGGGAGGGUCAUUGGAAACUGGGGAACUUGAGUGCAGGAGAGGAAAGUGGAAUUCCACGUGUAGCGGUGAAAUGCGUAGAUAUGUGGAGGAACACCAGUGGCGAAGGCGACUUUCUGGCCUGUAACUGACACUGAGGCGCGAAAGCGUGGGGAGCAAACAGGAUUAGAUACCCUGGUAGUCCACGCCGUAAACGAUGAGUGCUAAGUGUUCGGGGGGGUUUCCGCCCCUCAGUGCUGCAGCUAACGCAUUAAGCACUCCGCCUGGGGAGUACGGUCGCAAGACUG
rnacentral:rRNA from 1 species